rnacentral:rRNA from 1 species
GAUAAGUUGGGAGGAAACUCAGAUGAGUCACUAGUGAAUUCGCGGCCGCCUGCUGUCGACCAUAUGGGAGAGCUCCCAACGCGUUGGAUGCAUAUCUUGAGUAUUCGAUAGUGUCACCUAAAUAGCUUGGCGUAAUCAUGGUCAUAGCUGUUUCCUGACUAUCAGCUUGUUGGUGGGGUGAUGGCCUACCAAGGCGACGACGGGUAGCCGGCCUGAGAGGGCGACCGGCCACACUGGGACUGAGACACGGCCCAGACUCCUACGGGAGGCAGCAGUGGGGAAUAUUGGACAAUGGGGGAAACCCUGAUCCAGCGACGCCGCGUGGGUGAUGAAGGCCUUCGGGUCGUAAAGCCCUGUCUGGGGGGACGAAUCCCCCGCUGGUGAACAACCGGCGGGAAUGACGGUACCCCCGAAGGAAGCACCGGCUAACUCUGUGCCAGCAGCCGCGGUAAGACAGAGGGUGCUAGCGUUGUUCGGAAUUACUGGGCGUAAAGGGCGCGUAGGCGGUCUGUUAAGUUCGGUGUGAAAGCCCUCGGCUCAACCGAGGAAGUGCGCCGGAUACUGGCAGACUUGAGUACCGGAGAGGAGGGUGGAAUUCCUGGUGUAGCGGUGAAAUGCGUAGAUAUCAGGAGGAACACCGGUGGCGAAGGCGGCCCUCUGGACGAGUACUGACGCUGAGGCGCGAAAGCGUGGGGAUCAAACAGGAUUAGAUACCCUGGUAGUCCACGCUGUAAACGGUGGGGACUAGGUGUGGGGGGUAUUGACCCCUCCCGUGCCGACGCUAACGCAUUAAGUCCCCCGCCUGGGGAUUACGGCCGCAAGGUUAAAACUCAAAUGAAUUGACCGGG